CUACACCAGUGGGAGCUAGCUGCUUUUUUGUGUCUUCACACAUUUGUCUCUUGUGAUUGGCUAACUAGAUGUGUUCAUCUUGCUGCCUGUAGUGCAAUGCUAUUCCUUCAGUAAAGGAUAACAAGAUAAUUUAACAAAUUUUAUAAUAAAAGUAAACUUGAAAGUUGUAUGUUCUAUCCGAAUAAUGAAAUAAUUUUGUAUGGCUUCCUGUCCCUUUCAUUGUGUACUAUAUAAAAAAUGCUUUCUGUUGGUUUUUGCACUUUUUGUUGUUGCUUAAUAUAAAGAUAUCAGGGUGUCAAAAAAAACUGUGCAUAUAAAUUGCAACAGGAGACGAUCUUCUUCUCUUCUGUAAAAUGUUUGUAUGAACUGUAUAAUGCCUUGAAUUGCUACAGCUACACGUACUGCUGGUAUAAUCAUCGCUAUACUUAUUGUCAUGUGAUUAAUUCAGUAUAAUGACCUCUAUGGCCGUGUAGCAAUUAGACUUUAUUGCUGUGCAGCAGUUUUAGUGUAAUGACUGGCUGCGCAGCUAGACUUCCAAAGGUCAUAGAUGUUUUAUACGCAGCAGGUUCAGAGGAACUUCCAUACGAGGAGAAAAAUAUAUCUCAGCAGAUUUGUGUGGUUUGUGCACAUCCUCCCUAUUUAGCUUCAUUUGAUCAUUUUUUUUUUCUUUAACCCUUUAGAUGCUAAACCUUUUUUACACCCCCAGUGCUGAGCUAGAUUUGAGCUUUUUUUGCUACCUACAUUUAAACCCUACUGUAAGUCAAAUUUCAGUGAGUGAGCCAAACAAAUUAUAUAUUGUUUUUUUUACCAGCAGGCCCACCCGAUUCACAAUAUACCAUUAUUAUAUUUAUAAUUCAUGGCACGUCAGAUAGCUUUGGCAAAAGCUGUAAACAAAUGUAUAAUUGUGUUGCAUAGAUUUUAGUAAAUAAUACUGAAAAUGUCCCAGUGGCCACUGCUGUUACCACCUUACUAAAGUGUCAUCAUGGGUAGUCCCAUAUGAAAUAGGGGCCCAUAAGGGCAUUUGGGGGUUAUCAUAUAGAUUAGAGAGGCCCCAUUGUACAGAACAAAAAUUAAAGCACUUUUUUUCCUUGCAAGGUGUUGCUGUUUUAGAGAGGGACUUAUCUACUAGAAAAUAAACUUUACCAGGGGUCUAUACACAUUUUGCACAUAAAAUGAGUCAUUCCCAAGCAAAUCCACAUGUUUUUUUAUCUACUGUAUUUUUAGAAGACCUUUUUUGUGGUACUUCUGUAAAAGGCAGGUACAGGUCAGGCAGCAAUAGGGCAGAAUCAGGAACACAGUAGUGAAAAGACAGCCACGGGUCAGGCAGCAGUAGGAAAUAAUCAGGAAUACAGUAGUGAAAAUGCAGGCACAGGUAAGGCAACAAUAGUGCAAAAUCAGGAACACAGUAGUGAAAAGGCAGGCACUGGUCAGGGAGCAAUAGGGCAGAAUCAUUAAUACAUUAUUUAAAACGCAGGUACGGGUCAGGUAGCAAUAGGGCAGAAUCAGGAACACAGUACUGAAAAGGCAGGCACAGGUCAGGCAACAGUAGGAAAGUAUCAGGAACACAGUAGUGAAAAGGCAGGCUCUGGUAAGGCAUCAGUAUCAAAGUAUCAGGGACACAGUAGUGAAAAGGCAGGCACGGGUCAGGCAGCAGUAGGAAAGUAUCAGGAACACAGUAGUGAAAAAGACAGGCAUGGGUCAUGGAGCAAUAGGGCAGAAUCGGGAACACAGUUGUGAAAAGGCAGGCACGGGUAAGGCAGCAGUAUCAAAGUAUCAGGAACACAGUAGUGAAAAGGCAGGUAUGGGUCAGGCAGCAAUAGUUCAGAAUCAGGAACACAGUAGUGAAAAGGCAGGCACUGGUCCGGUAGCAAUAGGGCAGAAUCAUGAACACAGUAGUAAAAAGACAGCCACAGGUCAGGCAGCAGUAGGAAAGUAUCAGGAACACAGUAGUGAAAAGGCAGGCACAGGUCAGGCAGCAAUAGAGCAGAAUCAGGAACACAGUAGUGAAAAGGCAUGCACGGGUCAGGGAGCAAUAGGGCAGAAUCAUGAACACAGUAGUGAGUGAAGAGGCAGGCACGGGUAAGGCAGCAGUAGGGCAGAAUCAGAAACACAGUAGUGAAAAGGCAGGCACAGGUCAGCCAGCAAUAGGGCAGAAUCAUGAACACAGUAGUAAAAAGACAGCCACUGGUCAUGGAGCAGUAGGAAAGUAUCAGGAACACUGUAGUGAAAAGGCAGACACAGAUCAGGCACCAAUAGUGCAGAAUCAGGAACACAGUAGUGAAAAGGCAGGCACGGGUCAGGCAACAAUAGUGCAAAAUCACAAACACAGUAGUGAAAAGGCAGACACAGGUCAGGGAGCAGAAUAAGGAACACAGUAGUGAAAAGACAGUCACUGGUCAGGUAGCAAUUAGGCAGAAUCAGGAGCACAGUAGUGAAAAGACAGGCACGGGUCAGGCAGCAAUAAGCUAGAAUCGGGAACACAGUAGUGAAAAGGUGGUCAUGGAGCAAUAGGGCAGAAUCAGGAACACAGUAGUGAAAAGGCAGGCACGGGUAAGGCAGCAGUAGGGCAGAAUCAGAAAAUCAGUAGUGAAAAGGCAGGUACAGGUCAGGCAGCAGUAGGAAAGAAUCAAGAACACAGUAGUGAAAAGGCAGGCACAGGUCAGGUAGCAAUAGAGCAGAAUCAGAAAACAGUAGUGAAAAGGCAGGUACAGGUCAGGCAGCAGUAGGAAAGAAUCAGGAACACAGUAGUGAAAAGGCAGACACAGGUCAGGGAGCAGAAUAAGGAACACAGUAGUGAAAAGGCAGUCACUGGUCAGGUAGCAAUAGGGCAGAAUCAGGAGCACAGUAGUGAAAAGGCAGGCACAGGUCAGGUAGCAAUAGAGCAGAAUAAGGAGCACAGUAGUGAAAAGACAGGCACGGGUCAGGCAGCAAUAAGCUAGAAUCAGGAUCACAGUAAUGAAAAGGCAGGCACAGGUCAGGUAGCAAUAGAGCAGAAUCAGGAAUACAGUAGUGAAAAGGCGGUCAUGGAGCAAUAGAGCAGAAUCAGGAACACAGUAGUGAAAAGGCAGGCACGGGUAAGGCAGCAAUAGUGCAGAUUCAGAAAAUCAGUAGUUAAAAAGCAGGUACAGGUCAGGCAGCAGUCGGAAAGAAUCAGGAACACAGUAGUAAAAAGGCAGGCACAGGUCAGGUAGCAAUAGAGCAGAAUCAGGAACACAGUAGUGAAAAGGCAGGCACGGGUCAGGCAGCAAUAAGCUAGAAUCAGGAUCACAGUAAUGAAAAGGCAGGCACAGGUCAGGCAGCAAUAAGACAGAAUCAGGAACACAGUAGUGAAAAGGCAGGCACAGGUCAGGUAGCAAUAAGACAGAAUCAGGAACACAGUAGUGAAAAGGCAGGCACAGGUCAGGUAGCAAUAAGGCAGAAUCAGGAACACAGUGGUAAAAAGGCAGGCACAGGUCAGGUAGCAAUAGAGCAGAAUCAGGAACACAGUGGUAAAAAGGACAGGUACAGGUCAAGUAGCAAUGGAGCAGAAUCAGAAACACAGUAGUAAAAAGGCAGACACAGGUCAGGGAGCAAUAAGGCAGAAUCAGGAACACAGAAAAAAAGCAGGCACAGGUCAGGCAGCAAUAAGACAGAAUCAAGAGCACAAAUAGUGAAAAGGCAGGCACGGGUUUUAGGAUUUCUCCCAGACUUUAAUAAGUUAUUUGCUGCUUUUUUUGGCUGCCUUAUUAGACUCACCUGUCUUCUCCUCCAGACUCCCUCUUAUGUCCAAACUGGAGAACAUAUCAGAGAGACACAGGUUGUAGUCCCAGAAUGAUGAUGUCAUCAUUCCCUAUUUAACUACCUCAGUCCUGUUUGCCUUUGCCCUUGUGUUGUCUCUGACUUCUCUGUGAGUACCUGUGUUCAUGACUCUGUGUAUAACCUGGCUUGUUUGACGUUCCUUCUGGUUCCUGAUCCCUGGCUUGUUCCUGACUUUGCUGAUCUUCGUGUUCCUGACCCCGGUUCGUCUGAAUACUCGCUUUGGUUCCUGACCCGACUCGUCUGACAACCCGCACUGGCUUUCUCUAAUGGCUUGGCUUUUAGACUCUUUAUUAAUAUUUUGUAUUUUUUAAUAAAGGUGCGAUUAAUUUAGUA